GACGAACGCUGGCGGCGUGCUUAACACAUGCAAGUCGAACGGUGAAGCGCCUUCCUUUUUGGUGGGUGUGGAUGAGUGGCGAACGGGUGAGUAACACGUGAGUAACCUGCCCCCUUCUUCUGGAUAACCGCAUGAAAGUGUGGCUAAUACGGGAUAUUCUGGGUCUGUCGCAUGAUGGGUCUGGGAAAGAUAUUGUUUCGGUGGGGGAUGGGCUCGCGGCCUAUCAGCUUGUUGGUGGGGUGAUGGCCUACCAAGGCGGUGACGGGUAGCCGGCCUGAGAGGGUGGACGGUCACACUGGGACUGAGACACGGCCCAGACUCCUACGGGAGGCGGCAGUGGGGAAUAUUGCACAAUGGGCGCAAGCCUGAUGCAGCGACGCCGCGUGAGGGAUGGAGGCCUGCGGGUUGUGAACCUCUUUCGCCAGUGAAGCAGGCCUGCCUCGUUUGUGGGUGGGUUGACGGUAGCUGGAGAAGAAGCGCCGGCUAACUACGUG
rnacentral:rRNA from 1 species